GUUAAGAUUUGGGCGAGAGUAGUACUAGGAUGGGUGACCCCCUGGGAAGUCCUCGUGUUGCAACCC
rnacentral:rRNA from 1 species